GGGCUCACUUAGGCAGCACAUACACUAAAACUGGGGAGACACAAAGAAGAUUAACAUGGCCCUGUGCAAGGAUGCCACACAGAUUCAUGAACCACUCCAUAUUUUU
rnacentral:snRNA from 1 species